rnacentral:rRNA from 1 species
GACGAACGCUGGCGGCGUGCUUAACACAUGCAAGUCGAACGGAAAGGCCCUGCUUUUGUGGGGUGCUCGAGUGGCGAACGGGUGAGUAACACGUGAGUAACCUGCCCUUGACUUUGGGAUAACUUCAGGAAACUGGGGCUAAUACCGGAUAGGAGCUCCUGCUGCAUGGUGGGGGUUGGAAAGUUUCGGCGGUUGGGGAUGGACUCGCGGCUUAUCAGCUUGUUGGUGGGGUAGUGGCUUACCAAGGCUUUGACGGGUAGCCGGCCUGAGAGGGUGACCGGCCACAUUGGGACUGAGGUACGGCCCAGACUCCUACGGGAGGCAGCUGUGGGGAAUAUUGCACAAUGGGCGGAAGCCUGAUGCAGCAACGCCGCGUGCGGGAUGACGGCCUUCGGGUUGUAAACCGCUUUCGCCUGUGACGAAGCGUGAGUGACGGUAAUGGGUAAAGAAGCACCGGCUAACUACGUGCCAGCAGCCGCGGUGAUACGUAGGGUGCGAGCGUUGUCCGGAUUUAUUGGGCGUAAAGGGCUCGUAGGUGGUUGAUCGCGUCGGAAGUGUAAUCUUGGGGCUUAACCCUGAGCGUGCUUUCGAUACGGGUUGACUUGAGGAAGGUAGGGGAGAAUGGAAUUCCUGGUGGAGCGGUGGAAUGCGCAGAUAUCAGGAGGAACACCAGUGGCGAAGGCGGUUCUCUGGGCCUUUCCUGACGCUGAGGAGCGAAAGCGUGGGGAGCGAACAGGCUUAGAUACCCUGGUAGUCCACGCUGUAAACGGUGGGUACUAGGUGUGGGGUCCAUUCCACGGGUUCCGUGCCGUAGCUAACGCUUUAAGUACCCCGCCUGGGGAGUACGGCCGCAAGGCUAAAACUCAAAGGAAUUGACGGGGCCCCGCACAAGCGGCGGAGCAUGCGGAUUAAUUCGAUGCAACGCGUAGAACCUUACCUGGGUUUGACAUGGAUCGGGAGUGCUCAGAGAUGGGUGUGCCUCUUUUGGGGUCGGUUCACAGGUGGUGCAUGGCUGUCGUCAGCUCGUGUCGUGAGAUGUUGGGUUAAGUCCCGCAACGAGCGCAACCCUUGUUCACUGUUGCCAGCACGUUAUGGUGGGGACUCAGUGGAGACCGCCGGGGUCAACUCGGAGGAAGGUGGGGAUGACGUCAAGUCAUCAUGCCCCUUAUGUCCAGGGCUUCACGCAUGCUACAAUGGCUGGUACAGAGAGUGGCGAGCCUGUGAGGGUGAGCGAAUCUCGGAAAGCCGGUCUCAGUUCGGAUUGGGGUCUGCAACUCGACCUCAUGAAGUCGGAGUCGCUAGUAAUCGCAGAUCAGCAACGCUGCGGUGAAUACGUUCCCGGGGCU